UACGGAGGGUGCAAGCGUUAAUCGGAAUUACUGGGCGUAAAGCGCACGCAGGCGGUUUUUUAAGUCAGAUGUGAAAUCCCCGGGCUCAACCCUGGAAAGGCAUCUGAUACUGGCAAGCUUGAGUCCCGUAGAGGGGGGGAGAAUUCCAGGUGUAGCGGUGAAAUGCGUAGAGAUCUGGAGGAAUACCGGUGGCGAAGGCGGCCCCCUGGACGAAGACUGACGCUCAGGUGCGAAAGCGAGGGGAGCAAACAGG
rnacentral:rRNA from 1 species